GGGGGAUAUUGCGCAAUGGGGGCAACCCUGACGCAGCAACGCCGCGUGAAGGAUGAAGGUUUUCGGAUUGUAAACUUCUUUUAUUAAGGACGAAAAAUGACGGUACUUAAUGAAUAAGCUCCGGCUAACUACGUGCCAGCAGCCGCGGUAAUACGUAGGGAGCAAGCGUUGUCCGGAUUUACUGGGUGUAAAGGGUGCGUAGGCGGCUUUGCAAGUCAGAUGUGAAAUCUAUGGGCUCAACCCAUAAACUGCAUUUGAAACUGUAGAGCUUGAGUGAAGUAGAGGCAGGCGGAAUUCCCCGUGUAGCGGUGAAAUGCGUAGAGAUGGGGAGGAACACCAGUGGCGAAGGCGGCCUGCUGGGCUUUAACUGACGCUGAGGCACGAAAGCGUGGGUAGCAAACAGGAUUAGAUACCCUGGUAGUCCACGCUGUAAACGAUGAUUACUAGGUGUGGGGGGUCUGACCCCUUCCGUGCCGGAGUUAACACAAUAAGUAAUCCACCUGGGGAGUACGGCCGCAAGGUUGAAACUCAAAGGAAUUGACGGGGGCCCGCACAAGCAGUGGAGUAUGUGGUUUAAUUCGAAGCAACGCGAAGAACCUUACCAGGUCUUGACAUCCAACUAACGAAGUAGAGAUACAUUAGGUGCCCUUCGGGGAAAGUUGAGACAGGUGGUGCAUGGUUGUCGUCAGCUCGUGUCGUGAGAUGUUGGGUUAAGUCCCGCAACGAGCGCAACCCUUGCUAUUAGUUGCUACGCAAGAGCACUCUAAUAGGACUGCCGUUGACAAAACGGAGGAAGGUGGGGACGACGUCAAAUCAUCAUGCCCCUUAUGACCUGGGCUACACACGUACUACAAUGGAUGUUAACAGAGGGAAGCAAGACAGCGAUGUGGAGCAAACCCCUAAAAACAUUCUCAGUUCAGAUUGCGGGCUGCAACCCGCCUGCAUGAAGAUGGAAUUGCUAGUAAUCGCGGAUCAGCAUGCCGCGGUGAAUACGUUCCCG
rnacentral:rRNA from 2 species